rnacentral:rRNA from 1 species
CCUACGGGAGGCAGCAGUGGGGAAUAUUGGACAAUGGGCGAAAGCCUGAUCCAGCAAUGCCGCGUGAGUGAUGAAGGCCUUAGGGUUGUAAAGCUCUUUUACCAGGGAUGAUAAUGACAGUACCUGGAGAAUAAGCUCCGGCUAACUCCGUGCCAGCAGCCGCGGUAAUACGGAGGGAGCUAGCGUUGUUCGGAAUUACUGGGCGUAAAGCGUACGUAGGCGGUUAUUCAAGUCAGAGGUGAAAGCCCGGGGCUCAACCCCGGAACUGCCUUUGAAACUAGAUAGCUAGAAUCUUGGAGAGGUUAGUGGAAUUCCGAGUGUAGAGGUGAAAUUCGUAGAUAUUCGGAAGAACACCAGUGGCGAAGGCGACUAACUGGACAAGUAUUGACGCUGAGGUACGAAAGCGUGGGGAGCAAACAGGAUUAGAUACCCUGGUAGUCCACGACCGUAACGAUAGAUAACUAGUUGUUCGGUCGUACGUGGUGUCGUGUAGUGACGCGAGCUAACGACUAUUAAGUUAUCCGUCCGUCGGGUAGGUACGGUCGUCGAGAGUUAAACGUAACGUAAAUAGAAGUUAGACGGUCGUGAGAGUUGUCCGAACGGCGACGACGAGGGAGGAGGG